AUGACAUCACUCAUCCACCAACAUCUGUUGCGUGCACGACAGCAGAUGAAGGACUCAGCAGACAAGCGCCGCUCUGAUCGCACCUUCGCUGUUGACGACUGGGUUUUCCUCAAAUUGCAACCCUACGUGCAGCGUUCGGUGGCCACCCGUGCUAAUCAAAAGUUGGCAUUUCGCUACUUCGGCCCGUACCAGGUUGUCCAGCGCAUUGGUGCCGUCGCAUACAAGUUUCGCCUACCGGAGUCCAGCACCAUGCAUCCAGUCUUCCACGUCUCCCAGCUCCGUCAAGCGCUACUGCCCACGGAGCAGGCGCAAGUUCAACUGCCAGCAGCAGCGGCUUCAAGUCCGGUGCCGGAAGAGAUCCUACAGGACCGUCAAGUCCAGCGGGGCGGCACUCAGGUACCACAGGUCCUGGUACGGUGGACAGAUCAACCAUCUGAACUUGCAACUUGGGAAGAUCGCAUGGAGCUGCUGCAACACUUUCCGAGGGCGCCAGCUUGGGGACAAGCUGUGUCUCAUGGAGGGGGGGAUGUCACGGCCCCUGACAUGGCGACCCCACCGACUGCAACCAAGACAGCUUCUGUUGGGCUGGAACGACCUCGCCGACAGCCCAAGCCCAACAGUCGCUUCCUGGCCCAAGUGUGGGAUACCACGGGCAGGGUUAAAGGGAGACCGAGCCCUCCUGCGUGA
rnacentral:rRNA from 1 species